rnacentral:rRNA from 1 species
UGCGUAGGCGGCUUGGUAAGUCUGAUGUGAAAUCUAUGGGCUCAACUCAUAGUCUGCAUCGGAAACUGCCGGGCUGGAGUGUGGGAGAGGUGAGUGGAAUUUCCGGUGUAGCGGUGAAAUGCGUAGAUAUCGGAAGGAACACCUGUGGCGAAAGCGGCUCACUGGACCACAACUGACGCUGAUGCACGAAAGCUAGGGGAGCAAACAGGAUUAGAUACCCUGGUAGUCCUAGCCCUAAACGAUGACUGCUUGGUGUGACGGGUACCCAAUCCCGCCGUGCCGUAGCUAACGCGUUAAGCAGUCCGCCUGGGGAGUACGGUCGCAAGGCUGAA